GUCGGGGUGGCGGAAUUGGCAGACGCGCACGUUUGAGGGGCGUGUGGGUUUCCCGUACGGGUUCAAGUCCCGUCCUCGACACCA
rnacentral:tRNA from 1 species